rnacentral:lncRNA from 1 species
UGUCGAUCAUGGCUACCAGUUUCUAACUAAAGAUAAGAUUUUGUAGCUUCAAGGUUGAAUAUUUAGUUCAAUACUAGAAUUUUGGACCAUUCUGUCGCAUAAAUCCCAUGUUAAUCAAAGGAAAUCAGAGUCCGAGAAAAAUCAGAGUGAAACUAUGGUGUCGUCAUCGCCUGGGCAGUAUUGUUUGGCAAUAACCUCAAAAAUUGGAAAGACCAUUGCGUGAUCUGAAAAAUCAUGGGAUAGAACUCAAUAUGCACCAUUUUAGCGAUUCCACUUCUCUGAUUCUUUAGUUGAUAUCCUCUACCUGUCCUUUGUGAGUGUUGUUUGUGGACUCCAGUUUUCAAUUUUUUCCAACCAUUUUGCUUCUCUCUUUCAAAUGCCUAAAUACUGAUUGCAAAUUUAUAGUUAAGCUGGAGAACCUGCAACUUCAAAUUACGUUGGCUAAUGUUUUUAACAUUCGAUCCACUGCGUUGAAUGGAUUAUCCUUUUCCUUUGGCCAUUUUGCUCUAUACUAGCAGCAGUGCGGCAGCAUUUCUACAUUUGGUUAAACUGAACAAAGGAAGAAUGAUAAACAAACAGGCAAAGAAAUAGGGAAGAAAGAUGUGUCAACAAGUUGUUUGGUGUUUUUUUUUUUAAAAUUUUUCAAACUCUCCAAUCAUGUAUCGACAUGUGUGCAGUUUUAGCCAUGUUUUUCACGCUGUUUCUGUAACAUCUUUGCAAAGGAAGUACUUUCUGAUUCGGUCGGUUUGAAACGUUACCGGGAAAAGGUGAAUUCACUUGUUUGUAAAACGUUUCUCGAACUUUGGACGACUUCAUAUGGGAUGCCACUGACUGCUGCUGCAGGGCUCAUUCAGAAAGAUAUGACAAUGUAUGUACAUGUUUUUCAUUAACACGUGUCAAAGCACUCUUGGUGAAACAUGCCUGAAGUACUAAUUUUUAGGUUUAAUAAAGAUGUAGGCCUUAGCUGCUUUCCAGAUAGCCUUGGAAUAACAAUCCAUGUUUUUGGUCAAGCUGCACGUUUAGUGGCACCAAAAAGGAUAAUAUCCUCUUACAAUUU